AGAGUUUGAUCCUGGCUCAGAUUGAACGCUGGCGGCAUGCUUUACACAUGCAAGUCGAACGGCAGCGCGGGGCAACCUGGCGGCGAGUGGCGAACGGGUGAGUAAUAUAUCGGAACGUACCCAAGAGUGGGGGAUAACGUAGCGAAAGUUACGCUAAUACCGCAUACGAUCUAAGGAUGAAAGCAGGGGACCGCAAGGCCUUGUGCUCCUGGAGCGGCCGAUAUCUGAUUAGCUAGUUGGUAGGGUAAAGGCCUACCAAGGCUACGAUCAGUAGCUGGUCUGAGAGGACGACCAGCCACACUGGAACUGAGACACGGUCCAGACUCCUACGGGAGGCAGCAGUGGGGAAUUUUGGACAAUGGGCGCAAGCCUGAUCCAGCAAUGCCGCGUGAGUGAAGAAGGCCUUCGGGUUGUAAAGCUCUUUUGUCAGGGAAGAAACGGUGGGAGCUAAUAUCUCCCGCUAAUGACGGUACCUGAAGAAUAAGCACCGGCUAACUACGUGCCAGCAGCCGCGGUAAUACGUAGGGUGCAAGCGUUAAUCGGAAUUACUGGGCGUAAAGCGUGCGCAGGCGGUUUUGUAAGUCUGAUGUGAAAUCCCCGGGCUCAACCUGGGAAUUGCAUUGGAGACUGCAAGGCUAGAAUCUGGCAGAGGGGGGUAGAAUUCCACGUGUAGCAGUGAAAUGCGUAGAGAUGUGGAGGAACACCGAUGGCGAAGGCAGCCCCCUGGGUCAAGAUUGACGCUCAUGCACGAAAGCGUGGGGAGCAAACAGGAUUAGAUACCCUGGUAGUCG
rnacentral:rRNA from 1 species